UCAUGAGGGGGUCGGACGCUCGCUCGAUGUCCUCUUCAUCGUCGUCCUCCUCAGAGUCCACAGCGGUCUCUGGCAGGCCACUCAGGUCCAUGUCACCUGGUUCGUUUUCUGUGGCCUAGAAAGAAACAACAGCAAACGCCACAGCCUGCCUCGCAGCCAGAUCCUGUUCUUUGAAAGCACAAGAUGAAAUAUGUGCGAAGCCGUGAAAAUGAACUAAGAUGAGAAGCAAGCGUAAUGCAAUUACUUGUGCCUGAGCGAUACCAGCGGAGUUCUUCUGCUAUCAUCAAAGAAAGUAUUUCUAUAAAUGACAGAGGGGCCAGAUUGCCUGCUUCAUACUCACACAACAUGAAAACCUCUCAAAGAGCAAGUCAAAGCAGUCACAAAAAAAGGCAACAAAACAUUGGCUCUUCUACCUCCCAACAGUGAACCCUCUUACCCAAAUACGGUUCUCAAUCUCAAACCUCUUAACAGAAAGAGAAGAAUAGGUUGCCUUUGCAAACUGUCCGCAAAAUCCCAGAGAUAGACGCAUCUUCAUCUCCCAGACUGUCAGUCUGCUUCUAAUUUUUUAAUGCUCAGUCUCCCUGUGCUUGGUCUCUCUCAGAAACCCUAUGUCAUUUCUCCUCAAACGCCAUGUGCAAAGGGCUCUUUAAUGAUUCAGUGUCUGAAUGGCCGUUUGGGCAUCACUGGUCCACACCCUGGUGGGUGGAGCCUGCAAACACGAUGAAAGUGAAGAGUCACAGAUUAGGUAUGGAGCAGAACACAGGACAGAGGGGAAAAAACCUAAAUAAAAUGAAUGUAAGCUCGUAACUGACAAUGGAACUUCUUGCAUAAAACUACAGAGGAUCAUGUGACCAGUCUACUUUAAAAACACUAGACAGGUUCACAACACUUAACCCACAUAAUACAGCAUUAGAAACUCAAGGUUAUAUACAACAAUCAGUUCAUAGCCAGCUGUCAAACAUGGGUGUAUGCUUACAUAUCGCAUUUAAAUACAGAGGGCCCGGCUGCCUUUGUGCUCUUGCACGGCCCUUUUUUCAUGCCAUGCAUGUAUCAGAAAUCCAUAGAUGUGCAGAAAGCAUUAAGAAUCAGUGGGCAAGUCAGGUGUUGUUAAUAUUUCAUUAGGGCUAUUCUUGGAUCAAUGCUUUCAAAGUCCUUCUGAAGGACCAAUUUCAUGAUUUAUUCAGAUACAAACAGUGCGCCAUGUUGGCAGUGACGUGGGAAUUACGUGGCGAUAGCAGUGGAAUAGCCUGGUGGUUCGACUAUUCAGUGCUCCAUGCAGAAUCUAGACUCCAGUAUGCUCAGCAAAAAUAUAUAUACAGUAAAAUAAUGUUUAACGCAACCAUAUUUCACCAACAUCAACUUAACAUGAUCUCAAGUGUAAAUUAUGAAGUAUCCUCUGAUCCAUUUAUUCAACAACAGCACCAGUGAGCACUGCAAACAUUGCUCGCUUCUGAUGUACUGCACAUUUAAAAAUGUUUUUUUAUUCUGAAACAUGCAGGGUGUAACUUAACCUAAUAAUAAAAAAAAGCAAUGUUGCAUAAACCAACAGUCUUAGGAAUCAUGCUGCGCACUCAUGGUUAGAAUUUCAAUGUUUUCUGUCCACAUUAAAGGCUAUUCCAAGCCAUGUGUGCAUCGUGUUAAUUUUCUAAAAGUUUGUGAUAAAAAUGAGGAGAAUCUUGUAGCCUGGAUAGCAAAAAAAAAGCCCAUCAACCACUUUAUAUAACAAUUUCCACUUAAGCCAGGAAAUGAUUAGGAGAAGAUGGAGAGCAUAAAGUGUUCAAGAACUUCAACAGAAGCACACAAAAAAAUAAAAAUCCAAAAGCUUCAAAAGCGCUUCCAAACCACAGCUUCCCAAAUCACAAUCCGAUGGAGCAUCCACGGAAUGUGUCUGUUCAAGCCUGAUUGACAGACAUCCCAGAAAUUCAGAACUGAGUAAUCUCAAGAUUAUCCUCUUGAUUGACCGAUUGAUUAACCCUUGUGCCUGUAAAGUGCCAGAAAAUACAAGUUUCUUAAGCCAAAGGAGACAGGUUCUAAUAGCCUGAUGUGUCCAACUAACAGUCCAAAUAUAACACAGUGAAAUACAGAAUAGAGCCAAACUUUGACUCUUGGGUAUCUGAAGCAUUUUGAUUGUUGAAACAGUUAAAACAGAGGAAGCACGUAUGAAGCAUAUAAGUAUCGAAGUUAAGGAAUUUAAAUACAGUAUUCUGAGCCAAAGUUACAAACAGCAGAGUAAAGGUUGAACCAAACAUUAUAGAGGCUGAAUAAAAAAAACAAAACAGUGUCUGUGAUUCAGUGAGAGGAGAAAGAGACAGAGAGGGAAAAAAAAAAAAAAAUCAAGAGGCCGCCACAGAGCUGCUAGCAGAUGGUGCUAAGACCAGGAUCACAGACUGGGGACAGUAGAGCCUGUUCAACCUGCCCCAGCCAGCCACAGCAUGGUCAAAACAUAUACACAUACACACACAGAGCUCCACAAUAACACACCCCUCAUAUGCAAUUAGACGGUUUGUAUUCAGCAUACUGAAUAAGUGCCCUGAUGCAUACCAACCCCAGUCAGUCGAAGGUCUGACUAUACCAAACAGCACAGCCACAACCCUGCUUACAAACAUAACACACAUUUACAGACACACAGCAGGUGACAGAAUUAGGAGCCAAUGGGGUGGGUGUGCUAUGCUAAGCGGAUUAGUUGCAGAGUUUGGGGCACGUCCACAAUCAGUUGAGUGCACAUACUUGAAUUGGGUUUUAAGGGUUCAAAUGUUUAACUUUGAUUAUGUUUUCAUAACUACCAAGCAGAAUUGAAAAGGCUCGGUGAGGGUGGGUGGAUGGGGGUUGGACUGCAAGCAAACCAAUCAAUUUUGGUGCAGAUCUUGAUAACAUUAUUUAUAAACUGCUAAAUUAACCAUUGGCCUUGAUGAAGGAUGGGCUCCCUCAGCCCAUCCUUCAUCAAGUUAUACAUAUCUCAACACCACAAAACAAAUUAUGUGAGGCCUACAGGUGCUAGUAUUUUAGCACAAAAAUGCUCAUCAAGUGCCCUCAUUACAUGAGACUGUAUAUCACAGCUUUGUGGGAGUCCUGUACUUCUGCUUUGAGGUGAUGAAAGGCAGAGCUGGAGUCAGGAUGUAGGUUGGACCACCUGCUUGCAGCCACCAGCCUGUCUGCUCAUCCCCCGCUGCGUAGCAAAAGUCUCCCAUUAGUGUCUUAUAACAUGUCUGGCAGAAAAUGCUUUAAAUUCUUCCAAAGAAAAUUAGUCCUCCUUAAUGAGACUAAUGCAUAUUCCCAGAGGUAUAGUCAUUUCACAAAAAGCAUGUUCUUUCCAACAUUUUUUCAGACUUGUCUCAGAUGAGGUCAAAGUUUGUUCUAUAUCACAGAUUUUAAAUGCUAUGUUACAUGUUAGAUCACUGAAGCAUAUCUAUAUAUCUAUAUAUCUAUAUAUAUAUAUACAUACCCCAAAUCAUGCAAAUCAAUGUCUUUUCUCAUUAUUUACAAUUCAUCACGAGGUUAUGCCGAAACAAACCAGCUCAAUGAGUAAUUGUUAAUUUAAACUGCAGGAAAACAACCGAUAAGUCUCCCUCGUCUAAUGAGGUGAACAGAAAACUAGUCAGGUUAAUACAAACACUGCAAAGGAGAGGAAACAAACUCAGUCCCGAUCAGAUGGGAACAGCUACACUUUUAAUGCUUAAUAGUUGAUGCAUUAUACAUUUUGUUUAUUAUUGCCACACAGACUGAAUAUAAAAGAUGGACCUUGCCACUGUGAUGGAGUCUCAAAGUGAAAAUUUUGGUCAUUGCUAUUUGUUUAUGUUCACAUCAGUGACUGAGAAA